CAGAUGAUGAUGGCACAUUGCCCAUGUCCUGCCGUGGGAUUAAAGGACAGCAUUACCAUACUUCAAAACCAAAAUACCAACAUUAUAAAGAUGCAUCUAAAAGGGAUAUCUAUCAGACAUUCAACCUGGCGUCUGCUGCUCCGUCAUCACUGCUCCCACAGAAGGAGAGGAGACUCCUCUGGUGUCUCAUGACCAGAAAAUGGAAGAAGUUAAAAGCUUAUUGGAUUGACAAAUAAUAAUAAUAAUAAUAAUAAUAAUAAUAAUAAUAACAAAAAAA
rnacentral:lncRNA from 1 species